rnacentral:rRNA from 1 species
AUUGAACGCUGGCGGCAGGCCUAACACAUGCAAGUCGAGCGGAGCGGCGGAAGGGUGAGUAAUGCCUAGGACUCUGCCUGGUAGUGGUGGAUAACGUUCGGAAACGGGCGCUAAUACUGCAUACUAUCAGAUGAGCCUAGGUCGGAUUAGCUAGUUGGUGGGGUAAAGGCCUACCAAGGCGCCGAUCACGCACUGGUCUGAGUGGAGGAUCAGUCACACUGGAACGGAGACACGGUCCAGACUCCUACGGGAGGCAGCAGGGGGGAAUAUUGGACAAUGGGCGAAAGCCUGAUCCAGCCAUGCCGCGUGUAUGAAGAAGGUCUUCGGAUUGUAAAGCACUUUAAGUUGGGAGGCGUGACCAGCAGAAGAAGCACCGGCUAACUUCGUGCCAGCAGCCGCGGUAAUUC